ACGAACGCUGGCGGCGUGCUUAACACAUGCAAGUCGCACGGAAAGGCCCUGCUUUUGUGGGGUGCUCGAGUGGCGAACGGGUGAGUAACACGUGAGUAACCUGCCCUUGACUUUGGGAUAACUUCAGGAAACUGGGGCUCAUACCGGAUAGGAGCUCCUGCUGCAUGGUGGGGGUUGGAAAGUUUCGGCGGUUGGGGAUGGAUUCGCGGCUUAUCAGCUUGUUGGUGGGGUAGUGGCCUACCAAGGCUUUGACGGGUAGCCGGCCUGAGAGGGUGACCGGCCACAUUGGGACUGAGAUACGGCCGAGACUCCUACGGGAGGCAGCAGUGGGGAAUAUUGCACAAUGGGCGGAAGCCUGAUGCAGCAACGCCGCGUGCGGGAUGACGGCCUUCGGGUUGUAAACCGCUUUCGCCUGUGACGAAGCGUGAGUGACGGUAAUGGGUAAAGAAGCACCGGCUAACUACGUG
rnacentral:rRNA from 1 species